CUUUUUCUGAUGUAACCUCACUAAUUAUUUCUCUUUUAGGGUGAUCUAUCUGGUGACUACCGCACAUUGAUGCUGGCUCUAAUCACCCCUCACUAACGGAAGUUUCUCUUGGUGACGUGUCUGGAGACUACCGUAUGUUGAUGCUGGCUUUAAUCACCCCUCAUUAAUCGAUGUCAGGCUGCAAAGAAAAUAGAUCAUCAGAGUCUAGAAGGGUUUUUUUUAAUCAUUUUGACUGGAGCAUUUUCGUUGAAGAAUGCCAACACAAUUAUACAAGUGAACUUUAUUUACCAGUUUUUAAUCUAUAUUUUCAUAUAUGCAAAUUUCUGAGUUUGUUUAAUCCAUGCGUAGAUUCUGUAUGGUAAUAAAUGUUUCGUUGUUUUAAUUAUGGUGUCAUCAAAUUUUUUUUGUAACAUUAGAUGUAACUUUAUUUGGCUAUUUUUUUAAUUUGCUAACUAAUUUUAUAAUUAUAUUUUACUUGAGAAAGAUAGGGCAGAGAUGAUAAUGAUGAAUUAUGUUUUUGUUGCCUGUAGACAUUUUAAAAAAUUAUUUUUAAAAUGAUUAAAAUUAUCAUCACAAUUAUUGUUGGUAGAAAUUGGGAAAAUUUUUUUUUAACAUAGUUAUCUACCUUGAACCUUGCAACAUAUCUUACUUGGCUAGCUGGGUUUAGCAGCUGGAAUGAUCUAGAAUGGCAGGGUCACAAGUGUUAACAAUGGUAGAACUUCUUGAAGCCAACCAAUGACAGUUGGCUACCAGGGUUUAGCAGCUGGAAGGAUCUAGAAUGGCAGGGUCACAAGUUUAACAAUGGUAGAUCUCCUUCAAGCCAACCAAUAACAGUUGGCUAAGCUGGGAGUGUUUUUUAAUCCAAGAUCUCAAGGGAGUUGCAGUGUAUUUUAUUAGAUUGAGUAUCCCUCUUCGUUUACAAUUUCAAAUUAUUUCCUGAUAUUUUCGUAUAACUUAACUAACCAACAUUUGAUGAACAAUGCAAAAAAAAAAAAAAUCCAUUUAAUUAAAGUAAUGGAUAGAAAGCAAGGAAGCGCAUACAUAAUUUUUUUUAAAUACAAAUUUUGACUAAGGCUUAGUUUUUAAAAAUAAUUUAUUGAUAUAAGUGAAAUCUUCAACAAUUGUGAUUCUCAUCUUUUUACAUUUAUUUGUUUGUCUAUUUUUGCUACAAUCACAUUUAUUCAAUGCUUUUGUUCUAUUUAAUCCAACCAUUAGAAGCUCAAUGUGUGCUCAAAUGUUCUACUCCAUGUCAACUAUACUAUUCUCCUACACGGUCUUCAGAUAAUGUUUUCCUUUAUACUUAUUUGUACUGUAUGUUAAAUUAAAUUAAUCAUAUAAUAACCCUUUUAAAAAUUAAUGUUGUAUAUGCUAUAUAAUAUCAGAUAUAUUCAAUACUUUUUCAUCUAAAAUUAUUUUCUUGCUCCCAAAAAUUAUUCAUAACAUUAAAUAAAUUUCUUACUGUUAGGUGUUAUUACUUCCAAGUUUAAAUGUUAAAAUUCUGUAAUGUGAUGUAGUGUAGGUGAAACAUUUCUUUUUUUUAGUGCCUUGCCAACUAUUUCCAAUGAACUAGGUUUGGUUGUAUGGAGAAACAGUUUCCUUAAAGGCUGUGUAAUGUUUAUUUUGAUUAUUGUUGUUGAGUGAUUGCUUAAAGAGGUGAACUUAGAUAUUCAAUCUUUGUAGCUUGUGUAAUCCAAGAAUAUUUUUUAAUUUAGUUGAAAUAAAUUAUAAUAAUUCUG